rnacentral:rRNA from 1 species
GUGAGGCAUGCUGGAGGUAUCAGAAGUGCGAAUGCUGACAUAAGUAACGAUAAAGCGGGUGAAAAGCCCGCUCGCCGGAAGACCAAGGGUUCCUGUUCAACGUUAAUCGGAGCAGGGUGAGUCGACCCCUAAGGCGAGGCCGAAAGGCGUAGUCGAUGGGAAACAGGUUAAUAUUCCUGUACUCGGUGUUACUGCGAAGGGGGGACGGAGAAGGCUAUAUCAGCCGGGCGACGGUUGUCCCGGUUUAAGCGUGUAGGCGGAGGGUCCAGGUAAAUCCGGACUCUUUUAACGCUGAGGCGUGACGACGAGGCACUACGGUGCUGAAGUGAUAAAUGCCCUGCUUCCAGGAAAAGCCUCUAAGCAUCAGGUAACACAGAAUCGUACCCCAAACCGACACAGGUGGUCAGGUAGAGAAUACCAAGGCGCUUGAGAGAACUCGGGUGAAGGAACUAGGCAAAAUGGUGCCGUAACUUCGGGAGAAGGCACGCUGGCGCGUAGGUGAAGGGACUUGCUCCCGGAGCUGAAGCCAGUCGAAGAUACCAGCUGGCUGCAACUGUUUAUUAAAAACACAGCACUGUGCAAACACGAAAGUGGACGUAUACGGUGUGACGCCUGCCCGGUGCCGGAAGGUUAAUUGAUGGGGUUAUCCGCAAGGAGAAGCUCUUGAUCGAAGCCCCGGUAAACGGCGGCCGUAACUAUAACGGUCCUAAGGUAGCGAAAUUCCUUGUCGGGUAAGUUCCGACCUGCACGAAUGGCGUAAUGAUGGCCAGGCUGUCUCCACCCGAGACUCAGUGAAAUUGAACUCGCUGUGAAGAUGCAGUGUACCCGCGGCAAGACGGAAAGACCCCGUGAACCUUUACUACAGCUUGACACUGAACAUUGAGCCUUGAUGUGUAGGAUAGGUGGGAGGCUUUGAAGCGCGGACGCCAGUCUGCGUGGAGCCAUCCUUGAAAUACCACCCUUUAAUGUUUGAUGUUCUAACGUGGCCCCGUGAUCCGGGGUGCGGACAGUGUCUGGUGGGUAGUUUGACUGGGGCGGUCUCCUCCCAAAGAGUAACGGAGGAGCACGAAGGUCAGCUAAUCACGGUCGGACAUCGUGAGGUUAGUGCAAUGGCAUAAGCUGGCUUGACUGCGAGAGUGACGGCUCGAGCAGGUGCGAAAGCAGGUCAUAGUGAUCCGGUGGUUCUGAAUGGAAGGGCCAUCGCUCAACGGAUAAAAGGUACUCCGGGGAUAACAGGCUGAUACCGCCCAAGAGUUCAUAUCGACGGCGGUGUUUGGCACCUCGAUGUCGGCUCAUCACAUCCUGGGGCUGAAGUAGGUCCCAAGGGUACGGCUGUUCGCCGUUUAAAGUGGUACGCGAGCUGGGUUUAGAACGUCGUGAGACAGUUCGGUCCCUAUCUGCCGUGGGCGCUGGAGAAUUGAGGGGGGUUGCUCCUAGUACGAGAGGACCGGAGUGAACGCACCACUGGUGUUCGGGUUGUCAUGCCAAUGGCACUGCCCGGUAGCUAAGUGCGGAAAAGAUAAGUGCUGAAAGCAUCUAAGCACGAAACUUGCCCCGAGAUGAGUUCUCCCUGACCCCUUGAGGGUCCUGAAGGGACGUUGAAGACGACGACGUUGAUAGGCCGGGUGUGUAAGCGCAGCGAUGCGUUGAGCUAACCGGUACUAAUGACCCGUGAGGCUUAACCUUACAACGCCAGAGGCGUUU